rnacentral:pre_miRNA from 1 species
UCUUAUGGAUGAGCAAGGCAAGUGGUUUCUUGAGAUGGAAACUACUCUUGGUAUAGGUGCUGUGAA